UUAUAUUUGCUUGAAUUUGGUGAUUGUUAAUUACUAGUUAAAAAACAAUCUUAAAAGGGAAUUCGGUGUAAAUCCGAAACAGGCCCGCUGCUGUAAUCUUUAAAUAUGUUUUAAGAGUUAUGCCACUGAGUAAUUAUUAGCUUGGGAAGGUUCUUAAAAUGAAGUAAGUCAGAAUACCUGCCAGAUUUGAAUAUAGUUU
rnacentral:ncRNA from 2 species